rnacentral:rRNA from 1 species
UGCCAGACUCCUACGGGAGGCAGCAGUGGGGAAUAUUGCACAAUGGGGGGAACCCUGAUGCAGCGACGCCGCGUGGGUGAAGGAGCGUUUCGGCGCGUAAAGCCCUAUCGGCAGGGAAGAAGGAGGACGGUACCUGACUAAGAAGCCCCGGCUAACUACGUGCCAGCAGCCGCGGUAAUACGUAGGGGGCAAGCGUUAUCCGGAUUUACUGGGUGUAAAGGGGGCGCAGACGGCAGCGCAAGCCAGGAGUGAAAGCCCGGGGCCCAACCCCGGAACUGCUCUGGAAACUGUGCGGCUAGAGUACUGGAGGGGCAGGCGGAAUUCCUAGUGUAGCGGUGAAAUACGUAGAUAUUAGGAGGAACACCAGUGGCGAAGGCGGCCUGCUGGACAGUAACUGACGUUGAGGCUCGAAAGCGUGGGGAGCAAACAGGAUUAGAUACCCGCGUAC